rnacentral:lncRNA from 1 species
GUUUGCAAAUGAGAGCUACAAAGAGAAUAUAAAGAAGAGGAGAAUGAAGGAGAAGAGAGGAGAAGGAGAACAUGCACGAGCAUGCACAAGUCCACACUCAUGCAAGCUCAUGCAAAGUAUCUAGAAAAUUACAAAGGCAUUAAAUGCAAAGUUUGAACAUAAAAAUAAGAUAAUGGGCCAAGGCAAAGUGAUGGGCCUUGGACCACG